rnacentral:rRNA from 1 species
AACACAAGUGGCGAGGGUGCGGAAUCGAGAACCCUUUCCGGGUUUCUAGGUGGGCGGCAACGAAGAAGCGUAAACGGCGUGGGGAACCCUGCCCUUUACGGUUCGGGAAUAACUCCCCGGACAAGGGGUGCGUAAUACCGGAUAAUGUCUUCUGGACCAAAGAUUUAUCGCCUUUCGGAUGGACUCGCGGCCUAUCAGCUUGUUGGUGAGGUAAUGGCUUACCAAGGCGACGACGGGUAGCCGGCCUGAGAGGGUGACCGGCCACACUGGGACUGAGACACGGCCCAGACUCCUACGGGAGGCAGCAGUGGGGAAUAUUGCACAAUGGGCGCAAGCCUGAUGCAGCGACGCCGCGUGUGGGAUGACGGCCUUCGGG